rnacentral:rRNA from 1 species
UAUCUACAGGCUUAACACAUGCAAGUCGAGGGGCAGCAUGGUCUUAGCUUGCUAAGGCCGAUGGCGACCGGCGCACGGGUGAGUAACACGUAUCCAACCUGCCGUCUACUCUUGGACAGCCUUCUGAAAGGAAGAUUAAUACAAGAUGGCAUCAUGAGUCCGCAUGUUCACAUGAUUAAAGGUAUUCCGGUAGACGAUGGGGAUGCGUUCCAUUAGAUAGUAGGCGGGGUAACGGCCCACCUAGUCUUCGAUGGAUAGGGGUUCUGAGAGGAAGGUCCCCCACAUUGGAACUGAGACACGGUCCAAACUCCUACGGGAGGCAGCAGUGAGGAAUAUUGGUCAAUGGGCGAGAGCCUGAACCAGCCAAGUAGCGUGAAGGAUGACUGCCUUAUGGGUUGUAAACUUCUUUUAUAAAGGAAUAAAGUCGGGUAUGGAUACCCGUUUGCAUGUACUUUAUGAAUAAGGAUCGGCUAACUCCGUGCCAGCAGCCGCGGUAAUACGGAGGAUUCGAGCGUUAUCCGGAUUUAUUGGGUUUAAAGGGAGCGUAGAUGGAUGUUUAAGUCAGUUGUGAAAGUUUGCGGCUCAACCGUAAAAUUGCAGUUGAUACUGGAUAUCUUGAGUGCAGUUGAGGCAGGCGGAAUUCGUGGUGUAGCGGUGAAAUGCUUAGAUAUCACGAAGAACUCCGAUUGCGAAGGCAGCCUGCUAAGCUGCAACUGACAUUGAGGCUCGAAAGUGUGGAUAUCAAACAGGAUUAGAUACCCUGGUAGUCCACACGGUAAACGAUGAAUACUCGCUGUUUGCGAUAUACGGCAAGCGGCCAAGCGAAAGCGUUAAGUAUUCCACCUGGGGAGUACGCCGGCAACGGUGAAACUCAAAGGAAUUGACGGGGGCCCGCACAAGCGGAGGAACAUGUGGUUUAAUUCGAUGAUACGCGAGGAACCUUACCCGGGCUUAAAUUGCAGAUGAAUUACGGUGAAAGCCGUAAGCCGCAAGGCAUCUGCGAAGGUGCUGCAUGGUUGUCGUCAGCUCGUGCCGUGAGGUGUCGGCUUAAGUGCCAUAACGAGCGCAACCCUUGUUGUCAGUUACUAACAGGUUCUGCUGAGGACUCUGACAAGACUGCCAUCGUAAGAUGUGAGGAAGGUGGGGAUGACGUCAAAUCAGCACGGCCCUUACGUCCGGGGCUACACACGUGUUACAAUGGGGGGUACAGAGGGCCGCUACCACGCGAGUGGAUGCCAAUCCCAAAAACCUCUCUCAGUUCGGACUGGAGUCUGCAACCCGACUCCACGAAGCUGGAUUCGCUAGUAAUCGCGCAUCAGCCACGGCGCGGUGAAUACGUUCCCGGGCCUUGUACACACCGCCCGUCAAGCCAUGGGAGCCGGGGGUACCUGAAGUGCGUAACCGCGAGGAGCGCCCUAGGGUAAAACUGGUGACUGGGGCUAAG